rnacentral:rRNA from 1 species
UACGUAGGGGCCUAGCGUUGUCCGGAAUUAUUGGGCGUAAAGAGCUCGUAGGCGGUUCGGCAAGUCGGAUGUGAAAUCUCCACGCUUAACGUGGAGGGGCCAUUCGAAACUGCUGUGACUCGAGUCCGGUAGGGGAGUGUGGAAUUCCCGGUGUAGCGGUGAAAUGCGCAGAUAUCGGGGAGGAACACCAGUAGCGAAGGCGGCACUCUGGGCCGGUACUGGACGCUGAGGAGCGAAAGCGUGGGGAGCGAACAGG